GUGGAGGACGGGACAGUACCAAGAUUAGAAAUCUGUUGCUUAAGCACAUGUCAAAAACUGUACCAGUGACAACUAUGAAGAUAGAGACGUCCAUUCAGUGCUCUGUUUGCACAUACGUUGUGAGCACACUUGAGUAUCUGUUUCCCAGAGAGAGGACUCAGAGCAUCAUAACUGCACUGCUGGAGAGUUUGUGCAGUGAGUUUCCUUCUCUGUUUCAGCCACAGUGCAAUAAGAUGGUUGAAAAAUACGUCCAACUGUUGGUUGACAUGCUACUGAAUAACACUUCUCCUAACUUCAUAUGCACUCUGCUUCGUUUUUGUGAAAUAUGGGAGCAUCCUGUCAAUGCUGUGGCACUUUCUGAUUGUGAUUCUUGCCUUACAUUGGCGGUUCUGACUCAUGUUCAUCUGGGCCCCAAUGCCACCGAGCACCAGGCUGCUUCAUUCCUGGACACCGUCUGCCAGCUGCACCCCAGUGCUAUGCCAAAGGUUACACAUCAUUCUGCUCCUUUAAAUGAAUGACUUUAAAGUGCCCUUAAUUUGCAAGUUUACUAUAAUUUCUACAUCUCAUCUAGUGUGAGACUUACGUGCAGCGUCAUGGGAACCAGCUCCGUGUGCUUCUGAGCAAACAGCAGGCGGCGCUGGACAUUUGUAAGGUAAAAACACCUGUGGAAUACCCAUGGCUCUUGACAAUAUGCUGAGGUCUUCUGAAGCAGUCCGGAAUG
rnacentral:lncRNA from 1 species